ACAGUAGAGGCGCGCCUGUUAAAUAGUAGGCUGUCACAGGCAAGCGGUUGCCGCGUUAAUGACAGCUCGAAAGGUGACGGCGCCGAAGUCUGUCGGAUUUCCGCUCCCGGCAAGGCUGGGGGUACGGUAAACAGCCGUAUCACUGUCAUCCUACGGAUGGAGAGCUACGAU
rnacentral:ncRNA from 1 species